GGGGCUGACUUGGAUUUCGACAGAUUUCUUGUCGCACAGAUAGCAUGCCAAGCACUGCUUGUAAAACAGCAACAAAAAUAACUGUAAACAACGCAGAUUACGCUCCAGCUUACGCUAAAGCUGCGUGAGUUAAUCUCCUUUUGGAGCUGGACUGAUUAGAAUUUCUAGCGUUUUAAUCACUCCAUAACCUUAAGCUAGACGCUUUUAAAAGGUGGUUCGCCUUUUAAACUAAGAAUAAGAACUCUUGAAACUAUCUCAAGGUUUUAGAAAGUUGGACCAGAGCUAGUUUUAAGGCUAAAAACUAACCAAUUUUCUAAGCAUUGUAGAAGUUUGUGUUUAGGACAAGAUUUUUGGACUGGGGUUCGAUUCCCCACAGCUCCACCA
rnacentral:tmRNA from 1 species